rnacentral:rRNA from 1 species
AGCUCCAAUAGCGUAUAUUAAAGUUGUUGCAGUUAAAAAGCUCGUAGUUGGAUUUCUGGUGCAUUCCACUGGCCUAUUGGUUAACUCCAACUUGGCUCAUUUGGAAUACGCCAUCUUUAGGCAGACCCGUCGUGGCAUUAGGUUGUCGUGAUGGUUACGCCUAUCGUUUACUGUGAAGAAAUUAGGGUGUUCAAAGCAGGCUUAUGCCAUGAAUACGUUAGCAUGGAAUAAUGAGAUAGGAUUUCGGUACUAUUUUGUUGGUUUGUGUACGGAAAUAAUGAUUAACAGGAACAGUGUUGUGGGUAUUCGUAUUUCGUUGUCAGAGGUGAAAUUCUUGGAUUUACGAAAGACGAACGACUGCGAAAGCAUUUACCAAGGAUGUUUUCAUUAAUCAAGAACG